rnacentral:rRNA from 1 species
AGCGAACGCUGGCGGCAGGCUUAACACAUGCAAGUCGAACGGGCAUCUUCGGAUGUCAGUGGCAGACGGGAGAGUAACACGUGGGAACGUACCCUUCGGUUCGGAAUAACUCAGGGAAACUUGAGCUAAUACCGGAUACGCCCUUUUGGGGAAAGGUUUACUGCCGAAGGAUCGGCCCGCGUCUGAUUAGCUGGUUGGUGGGGUAACGGCCUACCAAGGCGACGAUCAGUAGCUGGUCUGAGAGGAUGAUCAGCCACACUGGGACUGAGACACGGCCCAGACUCCUACGGGAGGCAGCAGUGGGGAAUAUUGGACAAUGGGCGCAAGCCUGAUCCAGCCAUGCCGCGUGAGUGAUGAAGGCCUUAGGGUUGUAAAGCUCUUUUGUCCGGGACGAUAAUGACGGUACCGGAAGAAUAAGCCCCGGCUAACUCCGUG